CUCUUUUGAGAAUACGGGCCUUUAAGGUUUGUCAAAGCCUUGAAAACUUUUGGUCUAAUGUUACAUCAGAAAUAGAGGAAUGGUAUUAGGUUAUAACUUAUCAAUGCAGUGAGGGAUCACAUUUGCCAAAACUAAUCCUGUUUAUUAUUCAUAUAGUGACAGCAGAAACUGAAUCGGAUGUUUGUGCUUGGAAAGAAGGCCUUAUCCCAACCUUAAAAAUAGAACAGAGAAAGAGUAGGGAGGCGAAUGAAUCAUGCAUUAAACACAAACAAAACAUGACUUUUUUUAUCACAUAUAUAAUUCAUUUAUUAAUAUAUAUAAUAUAAUUCUGAUAGUUACCUAACACAUCUGACUUUUUUUCAAUGUAUAUCCAUAUACUGUACCAAAUGUCAACACAAAUUUAAUUGACAAGUACUGACCAUUCUCUAUAACCUAUAACAGAUAUAUCACAUAAUACAAGCCUUGCUAUUUUUUCUUUCUUUUUUGGUUUGAUGUUUUUUUCAUAACAAUUUGGUCACUAUUGAAAUGACUUACAUUACAUGUAAAAUGAAACCAAAUAAUACAAGAGUUUAUAAACAAGGAGGAAAGGAUGAAAAUCUCACCAAAUAUAAUCAUUUACAAGCCUUACAAUGUGGUGUAGCAAAAUUUGUUAAUCUAUGCUAGCACCAAAAUAUUGAUCGAAAUAUAUUUAACGACCGUCAUUGAUAUUGCAGAGGUGAAAAACUGUUACUGAAGAAAGAAAGAAAUUCUACCCAUCAAAAUCUCUGAAAAAAUCCAUUAUGCUGUAGAAUAUCUAGAGCCCAGGUUAGAUUUACUUCAUAGUCAAUUCCUUUCUUUUUCAAAGAAAAUAAUUUUAGAAUGAUAAUUCUUUCCAAAAUAUGAUUCAUAUAUUGAAAAGAAAGUCUAACUGAUCUUUAUAACCAGUCGUAGUUAGGCUAAUAUAUAUAUAUAUUCUUAAUAAUUUUUAUCAAGGAUUCAGCGAGUGUCUCUAAAAGUUGUGAAUCUAGAUGAAACCAAGUCAAAUAUGUUUCCAAUCACAAUUUUAUAAAGACCUUGGCAAUCAAAAUUGUUUUUGCAUUAAUCAUUACACAAGAGAGAAUGAAGGAAAAUAAAUAUGGGGAUGCUAUCACAUGUCAAUAUUUAGAAUAUGUAGUUUACAGAAUUUACUUAAACUAAAAUGAAAAUGCACAACAUAGUAAAUACAGUACCACAUCAUAAUAUACAUUUAAAUGUAUUUCAUUUUUUUCAUUCUGUUCACCCUACAAGCUGGCAAACAAUAUACGUAAACAUUUAUAUUGGAUUACAUCUUACAUAAAAUUGCACAUGUGAGUUAAAAAAUGAAGAUUGAAAAAUCAAACCAAAUUAAAUAUCUGCUAAUCAUCUUUGAAGUUAACCAAUAAUAAUAUUUCAUCACUUUGGACAGUCAAAUUCAUGAACUCAUUAUGGGAGGUGAAAUCAUUCAUGUAAUUAUAAUCAACAAAAUCUAAAUAAUUGGAUCAGUAGGUAGUUCCUAACUUUGUUUGAAACAAUGGGAUCACUAGCUGACUAUUGUAUGAACUAAGGAGGCAAUUAGAUAUUAUUGUAUAUGAUUAUUUGGAGUAUAACAAUGAAUAAAGUGUGGGGGGGCUAUGGACACAUUUAUCAACUAUGAAAUUACACAAGUAUUGACUAAUAUCCAAUACAUUGUUGAAAUGCAGUUGAAUAGUAAAUACAGGAAAACAAAUAAAUGUAAAAACUGAAUAUUUCUUCUGUCAUGAAAUGCCUACUUCAGUAUUCUACAUGUUUUUGUUGUCGGUCAAGACCCUUCAUUUCAAUGCCAAGAAAUACAAUGAACAUAAAAUAUAUAGCAUAUACUUUAAUCAUUUCAUCUUUCUCUCUUUUUUAAUAAUCUAUCCACUAUUAAACUAACAUGAUUGCUUAUUUUUAUAAACAAUGGAUAUCUUUGACAU
rnacentral:lncRNA from 1 species